AAUUUAUGUACGAAUAUAAGCUAUAACAUACAGUACAGUAACACAAAGAUAUUUGUUGUUGCCACAGGGUGGAGCUCUGAAGCCUGAUGUUAAACAGCAGAUCAAGCUAAAUGUGACUGACUCAAGAUUGAGUUUGACACUUCAAGCUUUCAGACUACUGAGCAGUGACCAUGUUUACUGUUGUCUUCAUUGUAGUUUCUCUGCUUAAGGAGAGUGCUGAUGCAGAUACAAUAGAAUCUCUUUUACCAGAACAGCAUGUUUCAGUUGGACAAAGUGCUGUUAUCUCUUGCAAAUACAGUGACAUUGGGCCCAGCUUUCAGUGGUACCGCCAAUAUCCAGGAUCCAGACCUGAGUACCUUAUUUUUAAUGCAGAGACUGGCGUUUCUUCUGAACCCUCUUUACGUCUCAAAGCACAGGCUAAAAAAGCGAUCACAGAAGUGGAACUGGAGAUCUCCUCUACUGAAGUCAAAGACUCUGCUGUAUAUCACUGCGCUCUGAGGCCCACAGUGACAGGAAACCCACCUGCUUCUCUACAAAAACUUAAUACAUGA